rnacentral:rRNA from 1 species
GAACGAACGCUGGCGGCAUGCCUAACCCAUGCAAGUCGAACGAGACCUUCGGGUCUAGUGGCGCACGGGUGCGUAACGCGUGGCAACCUGCCCUUAGGUUCGGAAUAACUCCCCGAAAGGGGUGCUAAUACCGGAUAAUGUCUUCGGACCAAAGAUUUAUCGCCUUUGGAUGGGCCCGCGUUGGAUUAGCUAGUUGGUAGGGUAAAAGCCUACCAAGGCGACGAUCCAUAGCUGGUCUGAGAGGAUGAUCAGCCACACUGGGACUGGGACACGGCCCAGAAUCCUACGGGAGGCAGGAAGGGGGAAUAUUGGACAAUGGGCGAAAGCCUGAUCCAGCAAUGCCGCGUGAGUGAUGAAGGCCUUAGGGUUGUAAAGCUCUUUUACCCGGGAUGAUAAUGACAGUACCGGGAGAAUAAGCUCCGGCUAACUCCGUG